rnacentral:lncRNA from 1 species
GGAAUGUUGCAGAAGAAUGAAAAAGGCUUCAAAGUACAUUUGCAAAGAUGGAUGAGCUGCUGUUAUCAAAGCUGAGCAGUUAAACAAAGCCCAGUGUCUUCCAAAACCAUGUUCUUGCCAUGAGGUCACCAGUUUGUCACUUCACGGCUGCCUGGCUGCCAUGGCUCCUUCCAUCACAUCCUCAGAAGACAGCAGCCCAAGCCAAAGGGACAAAAAAGACCUCUCCUUGGACCUAUUGCUUACCAGAAAGAAAAGGUCCCAAGGCCUCCACUGGUCUCACUGGCAAGGACUGAAUCACAUGUCCAUCAGGAUUCACACCCCUGAGCAGGGCUCCCCGUCCCUUGGACAGAAUUGGAGUUGGGGUAACAGGAAAGAAAAGGGUGUUGCACAGCGACAAGUGCCCACCACAGGUACCCACAGCUUCUUCCAUUGCACCUCGGAAGGCAACAAGGAGAAACCCCAUCAUUUUUGAGAGCUUUGGUGUCAUUACAUUUCAAUAACAAAGGUCAUUUCCCUUUUU